CGGCACCUAUCUUCGGAUAGAAGCGAGUGGCGAACGGCUGAGUAACACGUGGAGAACCUGCCCCCUCCCCCGGGAUAGCCGCCCGAAAGGACGGGUAAUACCGGAUACCCCGGGGUGCCGCAUGGCACCCCGGCUAAAGCCCCGACGGGAGGGGAUGGCUCCGCGGCCCAUCAGGUAGACGGCGGGGUGACGGCCCACCGUGCCGGCAACGGGUAGCCGGGUUGAGAGACCGACCGGCCAGAUUGGGACUGAGACACGGCCCAG
rnacentral:rRNA from 1 species